rnacentral:rRNA from 1 species
UACGUAGGGUGCAAGCGUUGUCCGGAAUUAUUGGGCGUAAAGAGCUCGUAGGCGGUCUGUCAUGUCGGCUGUGAAAUCCCGAGGCUCAACCUCGGGUCUGCAGUCGAUACGGGCAAACUAGAGUAUUGCAGGGGAGACUGGAAUUCCUGGUGUAGCGGUGAAAUGCGCAGAUAUCAGGAGGAACACCGGUGGCGAAGGCGGGUCUCUGGGCAAUAACUGACGCUGAGGAGCGAAAGCGUGGGGAGCGAACAGG